rnacentral:rRNA from 1 species
CAUGGUCUUAGCUUGCUAAGGCCGAUGGCGACCGGCGCACGGGUGAGUAACGCGUAUCCCACUUGCCUUACACUCUUGGACAGCCUUCUGAAAGGGAGAUUAAUACAAGAUGUUAUCAUGAGUAAGCAUUUUCGCAUGAUUAAAGGUUUACCGGUGUAAGAUGGGGAUGCGUUCCAUUAGAUAGUAGGCGGGGUAACGGCCCACCUAGUCUUCGAUGGAUAGGGGUUCUGAGAGGAAGGUCCCCCACAUUGGAACUGAGACACGGUCCAAACUCCUACGGGAGGCAGCAGUGAGGAAUAUUGGUCAAUGGACGAGAGUCUGAACCAGCCAAGUAGCGUGAAGGAUGAAGGUUCUAUGGAUUGUAAACUUCUUUUAUACGGGAAUAAACGAAUCCACGUGUGGAUUUUUGCAUGUACCGUAUGAAUAAGGACCGGCUAACUCCGUGCCAGCAGCCGCGGUAAUACGGAGGACCCAAGCGUUAUCCGGAUUUAUUGGGUUUAAAGGGAGCGUAGGUUGACAUAUAAGUCAGCUGUGAAAGUUUACGGCUCAACCGUGAAAUUGCAGUUGAUACUGUAUGUCUUGAGUGUACAAGAGGUGGGCGGAAUUCGUGGUGUAGCGGUGAAAUGCUUAGAUAUCACGAAGAACUCCGAUUG